rnacentral:rRNA from 1 species
GAUGAACGCUAGCUACAGGCUUAACNCAUGCAAGUCGAGGGGAAACGAUAUUGGAAGCUUGCUUCCGAUAGGCGUCGACCGGCGCACGGGUGAGUAACGCGUAUCCAACCUGCCCACCACUUGGGGAUAACCUUGCGAAAGUAAGACUAAUACCCAAUGACGUCUCUAGAAGACAUCUGAAAGAGAUUAAAGAUUUAUCGGUGAUGGAUGGGGAUGCGUCUGAUUAGCUUGUUGGCGGGUAACGGCCCACCAAGGCUACGAUCAGUAGGGGUUCUGAGAGGAAGGUCCCCCACAUUGGAACUGAGACACGGUCCAAACUCCUACGGGAGGCAGCAGUGAGGAAUAUUGGUCAAUGGGCGAGAGCCUGAACCAGCCAAGUAGCGUGCAGGAUGACGGCCCUAUGGGUUGUAAACUGCUUUUAUAAGGGAAUAAAGUGGGUCUCGUGAGACUUUUUGCAUGUACCUUAUGAAUAAGGACCGGCUAAUUCCGUG